rnacentral:SRP_RNA from 1 species
GCAUGGUGGUGUACAUCGGUAGUCCCAGCUACUUGGGAGGCUGACACAGGAGGAUUGCCUUAGUCCGGGAGCUCUCGCUGUAGUGCACUGUGCCGAUCAGGUAUCCACGCUAAGUUACACAUCAAUAUGGUGACCUCCUAGGAGCAGGGGGCCACCAGGUUGCCUAAGGAGGGGUGAAUCAGCCCAGGUCAGAAAUGGAGUCGGUCAAAACUCCCAUGCUUAGACCAGACACAGUAGCUCACACCUGUAAUCCCAGCACUUUGGGAGGUCGAGGAGGGCAGAUCACCUGAGGCCAGGAGUUCAAGACCAGCCUGGCCAACAUGGCAAAACCCCAUCUCU